rnacentral:rRNA from 1 species
UACGGGGGGGGCAAGCGUUGUUCGGAAUUACUGGGCGUAAAGGGUUCGUAGGUGGCCAACUCAGUCAGACGUGAAAUCCCUCAGCUCAACUGGGGAACUGCGUCUGAUACUAGAUGGCUCGAGUGCAGGAGAGGAACGCGGAAUUCCAGGUGUAGCGGUGAAAUGCGUAGAUAUCAGGAGGAACACCGGUGGCGAAGGCGGCAUCCUGGACCGACACUGACGCUGAGGCGCGAGAGCUAGGGUAGCAAACGGG